CGAAGUUCGUUAUGAAAUGGAGUGGUUGGUGUAUUGCAUAGUUCUAGAGAUUGGAUUUGACUCAAAACAUACCAAAUGACUCCUCCCACCAUAUUAUCAUGUUCCCCAAGUUUUGGACUCAAUCCGAUAUCGAUUGGUCCAUGAAAUUGGACAAUUAAGGUUCGUACGAAGUUCGUUAUGAAAUGGUUCAUGGACCGUUAAGGUUCGAACAAAG
rnacentral:lncRNA from 1 species